AUCCAGCCGACAAGUCCCAAACAGGAUGAAACGCGUGUCCUGGAU
rnacentral:hammerhead_ribozyme from 1 species